AGCUUUCCUCACUUGAUCAUUUGAAUUUAACUACUUACAUGAAGGAGAAUCUCUACCAGUAACAGGUAUUUCAUACAGCUUAGAAGCUUUUGAAGAGAGAUUUUUCUGCUCCGAGUCAAAAACUGAAGCUUAAUCAUAAAUAUUUGUUUUAGGUCUGUCCCUUAAAGGACUCUAAAUGAUUUUAUUUGUGAAUUCUGUGCCAAUGACUGAAUGUUUAAUGUUUUUCCUUAAUAAAUCAGUUUGUAAAUGCUAAUGUGUCUUUUUGAUGUAUCUCCUUUACAUUGUCUAAAAGUUCUGGUAGUGAGAUGAGACAUUCAAGUUUCAAAAUCCUCUGUAGUUCAUUUAAUUUAUAGAGCUGCAAAUUAGUGGAAGGCAGUCUUCCUAUGUUCAGUAGUUGACCUGAUCAUAUUAGUAAUUCAAUAAGGAAAACUGUAUGUGAAAAUCCUUGAUGGCACACAAGUGUCGUGUUUUUCCAGAAAAACUUUAUUUUAUCCUCAUCUACAGAAAUCUGGCAUAUUCAUCAUCUCACUUCUGUUCACUGGCACAAUUCCCUUAGCUUCUCCAUUUCAUUGAAUUGAAUGUCCAAACUAGUAUUUAAGUUAACUGCUAACAGCACCAUUAAAAAAAAUGCAAUUUACAGAGUAUAAAUACUCUGUAAAAUGUUUUUUGAGCUAAUUUAGUUUCUUUCAGUAAUUAAUCAGCUCAAUAUACUGUAUGUCCACGAGUAUUGAGCUGAUUCCACAAACCUCCACAAUCUAAUUUUGACAAUCAGACCUUGGCCACAUCACUGGAUGCAUUAAUGAAACAUUGCAUAUAGGAAAGUGGAUAUUUAUAAGCUGUUUGUAAAUGCAAAAUAAAUACAUUAUUAAAAAAUGUUUGUGUAAAUAAAUAUUUCUGUACACCUAA